AGUGAACUUCGUUUGAAGAGAAAAUCCUUUUGUUUUUUCCUUUAAAAACAAAAGAUUGCAACGUAAAGCCCGCCCAAAC
rnacentral:sRNA from 1 species